rnacentral:lncRNA from 1 species
UCGAAAAAAAAAAAAAUUAAUUCACUUCUUCCAGAGUGCACUUUUAUGUGCAAUUUAAUGCACUCCCCACCACCAGUAAUGCCCCUUUUCUAAACUCACCCAGUCAUAUAUUGCCCAGUGAUACUGAUUUUUAUUGCAGUUUUACUAUUGAACUCCUGUAUUUUGAUUUCUAUCUUCAGGUGCUUAUGUCUUGUGUAAUGGAUAUAUUUCAUGUACUUCCUCAGAUUUCCUUCACUUUGUUUGCUUUCUGUACCCAUAAUCACUUGCUCUUUUUGGGGCUCACCAGUUGCAUUUCCGGAAUCUCUGGCUUCUCCUGCCACUUCUGAACAAUGCAGGAGCUGACUUCUCAGAGGCUGCUAGGGCCUCGGAUGGUUUCUCCAGUGUGUCUGGAGACAGGCAAGACUGAGGGAGUGUGCCUGCUGAAAAAGCUGCUGUGUCUCUUGUGGCUCAUUUUCAAGGAGGGGACAGCAAGCUCUUACUCCCGAAUUUGAUGAGUUCUGAGUUGUUGUCCCAUGACUGAGAAGAAUGAGGUACACGGACACUGGAGAGUGAGUAAGGCAAAG